UAGCUUAACGAAGCGAACCGGGGGAACUGAAACAUCUAAGUACCCCGAGGAAAAGAAAUCAACCGAGAUUCCCCCAGUAGCGGCGAGCGAACGGGGAGGAGCCCAGAGUCUGAAUCAGCGCGUGUGUUAGUGGAACGGUCUGGAAAGUCCGGCGGUACAGGGUGAUAGCCCCGUACACUAAAAUGCACACGUUGUGAACUCGAAGAGUAGGGCGGGACACGUGGUAUCCUGUCUGAAUAUGGGGGGACCAUCCUCCAAGGCUAAAUACUCCUGACUGACCGAUAGUGAACCAGUACCGUGAGGGAAAGGCGAAAAGAACCCCGGCGAGGGGAGUGAAAAAGAACCUGAAACCGUGU
rnacentral:rRNA from 1 species